GCGGGUAUAGUUUAGUGGUAAAACCUUAGCCUUCCAAGCUAGUGAUGCGGGUUC
rnacentral:tRNA from 4 species